CAAUCAAAAAAGGGAAGGAAACAAACCCGCAUGGCUUUCCCCAGAAGGGCGAAGGGAGCGGCAAUCACUUAAAUUUGAAAUCUGGCCCUCGGGUCCGAGUUGUAAUUUGUAGAGGAUGCUUUUGGUGCGGUGCCUUCCGAGUUCCCUGGAACGGGACGCCAUAGAGGGUGAGACAGCCCCGUCUGGUUGGACACCAAGCCUCUGUAAAGCUCCUUCGACGAGUCGAGUAGUUUGGGAAUGCUGCUCUAAUUAAAUGGGAGGUAUAUGUCUUCUAAAGCUAAAUACCGGCCAGAGACCGAUAGCGCACAAGUAGAGUGAUCGAAAGAUGAAAAGCACUUUGAAAAGAGAGUUAAAAAGCACGUCAAGAAAUUGGUUGAAAGGGAAGCGUUUAUGACCAGACUUGGGCUUGGUAGAUCAUCCGGCGUUCUCGCCGGUGCACUCGUUCCGGUCCAGGCCAGCAUCAGUUCGCCGGGGGGGAUAAAGGCUUCGGGAAUGUGGCUCCCUCGGGAGUGUUAUAGCCCGUUGCGUAAUACCCUGUGGCGGACUGAGGUACGCGUUCUGCAUGGAUGCUGGCGUAAUGGUCAUCAACGACCCGUCUUGAAACACGGACCAAGGAGUCGUCUUUGUAUGCGAGUGUAUGGGUGCCAAACCCCCACGCGCAAUGAAAGUGAACGCAGGUGACAGCUUCGGCGCAUCAUCGACCGAUCCUGAUGUUCUCGGAUGGAUUUGAGUAAGAGCAUAGGGGGCCGGACCCGAAAGAUGGUGAACUAUGCUUGGAUAGGGUGAAGCCAGAGGAAACUCUGGUGGAGGCUCGCAGCGGUUCUGACGUGCAAAUCGAUCGUCAAAUAUGGGCAUGGGGGCGAAAGACUAAUCGAACCUUCUAGUAGCUGGUUUCCGCCGAAGUUU
rnacentral:rRNA from 1 species